UGGGUAACCUGCCUCAAAGAGGGGAAUAGCCUCCCGAAAGGGAGAUUAAUACCGCAUAAUAUGUUUUAGUCGCAUGACUUAAACAUCAAAGGAUUUUCUUUUAGAAAUUCCACUUUGAGAUGGACCCGCGGCGCAUUAGCUAGUUGGUGAGGUAACGGCUCACCAAGGCAACGAUGCGUAGCCGACCUGAGAGGGUGACGCGACAUGUACG
rnacentral:rRNA from 1 species